rnacentral:rRNA from 1 species
GACGAACGCUGGCGGCGUGCUUAACACAUGCAAGUCGAACGGAAAGGCUCCAGCUUGCCGGAGUACUCGAGUGGCGAACGGGUGAGUAACACGUGGGUAAUCUGCCCUGCACUCUGGGAUAAGCCUGGGAAACUGGGUCUAAUACUGGAUAUGACCUUUCUCCUUAUGGGGUUUGGUGGAAAGUUUUUCGGUGUCGGAUGGGCGCGCGGCCUAUCAGCUUGUUGGGGGGGUGAUGGCCUACCAAGGCGUCGACGGGUAGCCGGCAUGAGAGGGGGAUCGGCCACAUUGGGACUGAGAGAGGGACCAGAAUCCUAUGGGAGGCAGCAGGGGGGAGUAUGGCACAAUGGGCGGAAGCCUGAUGCAGCGACGCCGGGUGAGGGAUGACGGCCUUCGGGUUGUGAACCUCUUUCAGCAGGGACGAAGCGGAAGUGACGGUACCUGAAGAAGAAGCACCGGCUAACUACGUG